UACAGAGGUCCCCAGCGUUGUUCGGAUUCAUUGGGCGUAAAGGGUGCGUAGGCGGCGGGGCAAGUCUGAUGUGAAAUCCUGGGGCUCAACCCUGGAACUGCAUUGGAUACUGCCUUGCUAGAGAACUGGAGAGGAGACUGGAAUUUACGGUGUAGCAGUGAAAUGCGCAGAUAUCGGGAAGAACACCCGUGGCGAAGGCGGCACUCUGGGACGGUACUGACGCUGAGACGCGAAAGCGUGGGGAGCGAACAGG
rnacentral:rRNA from 1 species